rnacentral:rRNA from 1 species
GAUCAUGGCUCAGGACGAACGCUGGCGGCGUGCUUAACACAUGCAAGUCGAACGAAGAGCGAUGGAAGCUUGCUUCUAUCAAUCUUAGUGGCGAACGGGUGAGUAACGCGUAAUCAACCUGCCCUUCAGAGGGGGACAACAGUUGGAAACGACUGCUAAUACCGCAUACUAUCUAAUCUCGGCAUCGAGGAUAGAUGAAAGGUGGCCUCUACAUGUAAGCUAUC